AACGAACGCUGGCGGCAUGCCUAACACAUGCAAGUCGAACGAACCCUUCGGGGUUAGUGGCGCACGGGUGCGUAACGCGUGGGAAUCUGCCCUUUGCUUCGGAAUAACAGUUAGAAAUGACUGCUAAUACCGGAUGAUGUCUUCGGACCAAAGAUUUAUCGGCAAAGGAUGAGCCCGCGUAGGAUUAGGUAGUUGGUGGGGUAAAGGCCUACCAAGCCGACGAUCCUUAGCUGGUCUGAGAGGAUGAUCAGCCACACUGGGACUGAGACACGGCCCAGACUCCUACGGGAGGCAGCAGUGGGGAAUAUUGGACAAUGGGCGCAAACCUGAUCCAGCAAUGCCGCGUGAGUGAUGAAGGCCUUAGGGUUGUAAAGCUCUUUUACCAGGGAUGAUAAUGACAGUACCUGGAGAAUAAGCUCCGGCUAACUCCGUGCCAGCAGCCGCGGUAACAC
rnacentral:rRNA from 1 species